UACGUAGGGGGCGAGCGUUGUCCGGAUUUAUUGGGCGUAAAGGGCGCGUAGGCGGCGCAACAAGUCACUUGUGAAAUCUCCGGGCUUAACCCGGAGCGGCCAAGUGAUACUGUCGUGCUAGAGUGCGGAAGGGGCUACUGGAAUUCUCGGUGUAGCGGUGAAAUGCGUAGAUAUCGAGAGGAACACCUGCGGCGAAGGCGGGUAGCUGGGCCGACACUGACGCUGAGGCGCGAAAGCCAGGGGAGCGAACGGG
rnacentral:rRNA from 1 species